GCGGCGAACGGGUGAGUAACACGUGAGCAACCUGCCCUAGGCUUUGGGAUAACCCUCGGAAACGGGGGCUAAUACCGGAUACAACCUUUGGUCGCAUGACUGGGGGUGGAAAGUUUUUCGGCCUGGGAUGGGCUCGCGGCCUAUCAGCUUGUUGGUGGGGUGAUGGCCUACCAAGGCGACGACGGGUAGCCGGCCUGAGAGGGCGACCGGCCACACUGGGACUGAGACACGGCCCAGACUCCUACGGGAGGCAGCAGUGGGGAAUAUUGCACAAUGGGCGGAAGCCUGAUGCAGCGACGCCGCGUGAGGGAUGACGGCCUUCGGGUUGUAAACCUCUUUCAGCAGGGACGAAGCGCAAGUGACGGUACCUGCAGAAGAAGCGCCGGCCAACUACGUGCCAGCAGCCGCGGUAAGACGUAGGGCGCGAGCGUUGUCCGGAUUUAUUGGGCGUAAAGAGCUCGUAGGCGGCUUGUCGCGUCGACCGUGAAAACUUGGGGCUCAACCCCAAGCCUGCGGUCGAUACGGGCAGGCUAGAGUUCGGUAGGGGAGACUGGAAUUCCUGGUGUAGCGGUGAAAUGCGCAGAUAUCAGGAGGAACACCGGUGGCGAAGGCGGGUCUCUGGGCCGAUACUGACGCUGAGGAGCGAAAGCGUGGGGAGCGAACAGGAUUAGAUACCCUGGUAGUCCACGCUGUAAACGUUGGGCGCUAGGUGUGGGGGGC
rnacentral:rRNA from 1 species